GUAGGGUGCGAGCGUUAAUCGGAUUUACUGGGCGUAAAGCGUGCGCAGGCGGCCCGUUAAGACAGGUGUGAAAUCCCUGGGCUCAACCUAGGAAUUGCGCUUGUGACUGGCGGGCUCGAGUACGGUAGAGGGGGGUGGAAUUCCUGGUGUAGCAGUGAAAUGCGUAGAGAUCAGGAGGAACACCGAUGGCGAAGGCAGCCCCCCGUGGGCCUGUACUGACGCUCAUGCACGAAAGCGUGGGGAGCAAACAGGAUUAGAUACCCUGGUAGUCCACGCCCUAAACGAUGGGUACUAGCCCGUUUGGUGCGCGAUAGCGCUGAGUGGCGAAGCUAACGCGUGAAGUACCCCCGCCUGGGAGUACGGCCGCAAGGUUG
rnacentral:rRNA from 1 species